GCCAACCAAUAUGUGGCCAUAGAUUGUGGCUAAAUACAGAAAACUUGACAGUAGCUUGAAGUGUAUAUUUUAUUUAUAUUUCAACCAGGACAACUAUAGUCAUAAGACUGUUGUUUUAGUAAUUUUUGUUUGGAGGUAUGGUUCUAUUCUGCGCUAAUGUAGAAAGCACAAAGCAGGGAGACUCUUUUCAUGUAAACUAUACUUCUGCAUCAGCUCUACGUCGUAACUUAUACCAUAACCAGACCCCAUUUUAACCCUAUGCCGCAACCUUCUAAGUAACCUGUCGUGUGCUUCCCUAGAAAUCUACCUACAUGUCGGGCCAAUGCAUACCACAACGACUUGAUGGUGGGGAAGACCUCAGUAUUGGAAACUAGUGGGACAUGCUAGCUCCAUGCCUGAGGCUUAUGCAAAAGUCUGGGGGAAAGACAGACCCAAAGAGACCUAUCUGCUGCCUCCCACUGAAGACGCUCAGUCCAGUCUGCAGCUGAGGAUUACCGUGUGGAAGGCAGGAGGAGGAACGUGAGACAGCAACUUCCCGUGAGGCAACUUUUCCAAACAACAUAGUAAUCAGAGCAGAGACGGCAGCCGAGGAGAGAGCAGAAAACAAGAGAGGGAGAGUUAGAGAGGAGAGGCCAAAUGGAGGUAAAGGUUGGGCACAACAGCCUGAGGCACACUGUCGGGGGCAGAGAGCUGCACAAAAUCACCUCUGAAAGGGUAGCUGGAGCUGCUGUUGACUGAAAUCAUAACAAUACUAGUUAUACAUGCUGAUCAGUGCGAAGAACUGUUUUACGAUGAAAACUACGGCUCAAGCAGCUAGAGUCAUCACUUCAGGUUAUGAGGCAC
ensembl:lncRNA